rnacentral:tRNA from 1 species
GCCGGAAUGGUGGAAUCGGUAGACGCAGCGGACUCAAAAUCCGCCGACAGCAAUGUCAUGAGAGUUCGAGUCUCUCUUCCGGCACCA